rnacentral:misc_RNA from 1 species
AACCAUAGAAACCUGCGGAGUACCUGCGGAGGGAUCAUUACAGAGUUGCAAAACUCCCACAAACCAUCGCGAAUCUUACCCGUACGGUUGCCUCGGCGCUGGCGGUCCGGAAGGCCCUCGGGCCCCCGGACCCUCGGGUCUCCCGCUCGCGGGAGGCUGCCCGCCGGAGUGCCGAAACCAAACUCUUGAUAUUUUAUGUCUCUCUGAGUAAACUUUUAAAUAAGUCAAAACUUUCAGCAA